rnacentral:rRNA from 1 species
UACAGAGGGUGCAAGCGUUAAUCGGAAUUACUGGGCGUAAAGCGUGCGUAGACGGUUAUGUAAGUCGGGUGUGAAAGCCCCGGGCUCAACCUGGGAACUGCAUUUGUGACUGCAUGGCUAGAGUGCGGCAGAGGGGGAUGGAAUUCCGCGUGUAGCAGUGAAAUGCGUAGAUAUGCGGAGGAACACCGAUGGCGAAGGCAAUCCCCUGGGCCUGCACUGACGCUCAUGCACGAAAGCGUGGGGAGCAAACAGG